AAUCCUACUCUUUGCUAGUUAAAGACCAAAUUGAAUAAUGGUCCAGAAUUAAUGGCUAAAUACAACUCUUUUAGGCACCUACCUGAGAAAUACUGCGUGGCUUGAAAGACUCAUCCUAGAACUAGGAGUGGGGUUCUGGCAGGGUAAGGCAUAGUGAAGUGGGUGUGGAGUCCUGCUCAUUCUGCAGUUCAUGUGAUGAAUAUUUCUGUUCAACUGCUGAGUGACUCAGAAAUGAACUAAAUUUCAAUUCUGAUUAGAACUGGAUGUACACAUCUGAAAAGUGAGUGCAUUACGACUGUCAAGUUUAUUGCUGAAAAGUAACUUUUGCCUUUUACGAAUCUCAGUUUAUUUGACCAUAAUUGAUUUUUAUUCCUUUCAUUUUUUUUUCCAGUGUGUUGCUUUUGGAUGAUGAAUAUCGAUCAAGUGCUGUGUGAGGUAAGCUGUUACUUGGUGUGCAGUUCUUUCUCCAGGUAGCUUGUUUGCUUUACCUCACAACUCCUAUCAGCCCAGCCUGUAGCCUAUGUUAGAACAGAAACUAAAUAUCACUUCUUUAACAUCUGUAUAUUAAAAGCAGUUUGUGUUAGCAGUGAUAGACAGCAAUACUUGUUUCAGCUGGUGUUGAAUGCUGCAGGGCAUUCAUGAUUCAAGAUGAACCAACUGUGGUUGAUGUUGGGUGCUCCCUGGAGCCUUGUGCUCCUAGUGGAGAUGUCAGUACUGAUGGCUCAGGCAGUUGCAGCAUCUGAUCAACUGCCCUGUGGUAAAACUGCAGGAGGAAGGAAUGUCAGGAGGUGGUCUUGGAUGUUACUGCUAAAGCUGUGGAGCUUCUCACAAAGGGAUGAUCUGUGUGUUAUCAGAUGUUAUCAGACCUUCCGGAGGGUCUAGGAAAUAGGGUAGAAGAAAAACUUCAGGGUUACUUUUUAACAGGGGGAGCCAAGAGGUACAGCUACACCAGUAAUGAAAAUAAGCAUGUUUCCUUGUAAGAGGAUCAAACUGGGGCAUCUGCUUUCAGCUUUUGUUGCAGUAAAGCUACUGGAGUAGAUGAUGUGUCAACUCAACACAGUGUAUAUUGUUCUUACAACAGUAUCUGAUAGUCAUACUGAGCUUGUUGUGCCUGUUACCAUAGCCCAAAUCAUACCUGUCUCUUAAAAACAGGAGGCCCAGUAAUGGAUGGUGACAGUUAUGGAGUAAGUAUAUAGUUGACUGAGAAAUACCUUUACUUCUGUGUGCUCUUCAAAUACUGUUUCAAAAACAGUGAAAAAUAAGAGGGAAGCAGAUGCAUUCUGUUUCAGCACGUGUUCAGUUUUUGUCUGGUGCUGUAGACAAAAACCUGGAACCUGGUGCUUAGAAAAACACCUUCUUUCGCAACCCACAGCUGAUGCAUGUAUUGGCUGUGUUACUUAUAUGAAGGGACAGUGCUUAUAUUUAUUCAAGCAGUAAUUAAUUCAAAGGGCUCAUUUCUUAUUGCAUGUGCAGAAAUGUAGGAAGGAAACAAUGCAACUGGACUACAUCUUUUCUAGCUCUGCAGCAAUGAGCUAUUGUAACCGUUUUGAUCUGUUUGAAUUCUUCCAGCUGGUGCACAGAUCUGUUACUUCCAUGCGCUCCUGUGGAAUACACUGGUUAAGGAGGUAUGCUUUGUUUCUGCUGAGUUUUGGUAUGAGAGAACUUGGGUCUGUGCCUUCUCAGAGAGGCUUUGGUGGAGCUUGACAAACACAGCAGGGGGAACUGUUGGACAAGUGAUGUGAUAAAAGUGCAAUUAAGUUGAUGUUGUUCUUUAAUGUUUCUUGAAGUGGAGGAAUAUCUGAGGAAGUUUUUUUCCUAUGGGGUGGUUGUUGUGUGAGGACUGUAAGCUGAAGGUUUAGCUGUUCUGUGGUUUUUUUCCCCAAAGAAAUAUUUCAUGUGGAAGGACAAAGCCAGUUCCCAGAAGGCAGUUAGUGAUGUGUCCAUGUUAGAGAUGAUUGGCUGGGCUUUACUACAAGCUGUUCUGCAGGUGUAGUGAAGAGUUAAUUGUUACGCCUUGUUAUUCAGCAGGUAGACACAACUCCAUGUGUGUCUCAAUUGAAGAACGGGGCUAGAAGAGCAACAGGUUGUGCUUUCCUCACUGUAACACCCAUUGCAGUGGUGACAAUGAGACCUGUGACAGGUUUAUGUAGUGAGAGAAUUGUGCAAACGUGGUUCCAAAUGUAGUUACUCUUUAAAGUCUGAAGGAUUGGCAUGUUUGGCGUUGUGAAUUCGUGAAUUCAUAGAAUCACAAGGUUGGAAAGGACCCACAACCUUUCAGUCCAACCAUCCUAUCACCAUUACUAUCCACUAAGCUACUAAACCAUAUCUUGCAGCAUUCUGCAUCCUGCUGGCUGUGGGAAGUAGAAGAAAAACACACAGUGCUGAAUUCUGUAAAUAGUUCAUCAAAGCACACUUAGAAGCUGUCUUAAGGUGCUGUCUUACAGUUUCUUUACACCACAGUGCCAGCUGAUGUAGGUAACACUCUCAUGUGCACCAUCUGUGCCAUAGCGCUUUGAUUUCUGCAGUGUGGGUGGAUUUGGUUGAUAGUUCUGUGACAGACUGAUCCUGAAAGAAGUGCUGCUUAUUCAAUGUUGAGAGUACUUGAAAUUACUAAAAUGCUGAAGAAACUUAAAACUGUUAAUCAGAUACUGUGAUCUACUCUUCUUUUCAGCAAGCCCACGUGACAGUGCAGACCAGAGGAGUGCCUUAGUGGCAGGUGAUGAGGAAAUGAGAGAAGAAAUGCAGAAAGCCACUUGACAGAGACAGGAGCUCCCUUAUAGGUGCCUUGGGAUACACAACAGUCAGUUGGCUGUGGAAGAGGAAACAAAGUGUUGGACAGAGUCCGCUGCUGUCACUGAAUGUCAGGGGGUGAGAAGUUGUACCUGAGUGCUGCCACAGUAAGUCUGUAGGUAAGAUGCUUAGCAGCAGUGCUGGUACCCACAAGAAAUUCAAGGUCGCUUCAAAGAGGGUUUGCAUGGCUGGAGAACCAGCAGCUCUUAACGCAGUGACCGUACAUUGAACUCCUUUCAGCAGGAUGCUGUAGCCACUUUGUGUGUGCUGUGGUCUAUUUCAGAGGAGACAAUUCUUAAGUUAUAUUGCUGCUUGGAAUGAGAAACCACCUGUAGCUUCUGCCCUGUCACUUCUUGAAUUGCUAAUGCAGGCAGAAUGCUACUGAUUUCAUCUGCAAGCAGCUGACUUCAGCAGCACGUGGGGUUGGAAGAGAAUAUUCAUACAGUUGUGGCAUGAUGAGUAGUUCUUGUAUCUUUUAAUGCUUUUUUUUCUGCUUGGGUGUAUGGCAUGUUCUUGAAACUGCAUGGAAACAGAUAAUCCCAAGUAGGUGAGGAAGUGGACAGUAGUGUUGAAAUGGAAUAUUAUGGAUAGAGUGCAUAUAGGAAACUAAUCAGAGCUACCAUGCAAAAUGAUUUUGCCCCUAAAGAGUUUAGUAAGGGACGUAUAUAUGUGUGCCUGCCUUACUGCUGUUACAUUGGCACCAUGUUACAAAGUUAAGUUCCUUCAGCCUAUAGGAAGGCAGAAGGCAAAGUGCUUUUCUUUCUCUUGAGUUAUGGUGCUAACUAUUUUUUUUUUCUCCCAGGUCCUGAUGUGAUGUUGCUGCAAGUCUCUUGCAAGAAAGAAAAGGACAGCUCUUAAAUGCUCUUAAACACUCCUAUUUCUUGUAAUAAUUGAGAAUGUUAAAUAUUUUAACUUCACUGCCCUGUAAGUUGGAGUAGUGGAUCAAGGUGUGGUUGUACUAGGAAAGGGUUAUCAACUGUGUUCCAACUGUUCAAGUGUGGAGAGGGGGCUGUUUACUUCAUACAGAAUGUAACAUUCAAAUAAAACUGAUGACUGAAAGAAGCAGCUGCAGCCAGGGAAUUAUUUUGUACUGCUACACUGCAAGCCAACACAGGUGUAAAGCUAAAGCAGGGAUUUAGCUUUAGCUAAAUCUUAAAUGCUAAAGCCUCUAGAAAAACAGACAGUAAAGGUGAGAGAGCCUGCACACUGCAACUAGCCCUCUUCCUUCAGCUCUUUGUCCUGUACUGUUUGUUUAGGGGGAGUUGUAACAGUUUGGGUCUCUUCAGCAAUUGCAGUACCUCUAACUACAGUGGGGACUGAAAUGUAUGUUUAAUUAUUCUAUGCUACCUCAGAACUGCUGUAUUUUAAAAUUGGGCAGACCUGAUGGAAAUGCAGAUUUAUGGAUUUCAGGUGUUCUACCUACUGCUACAACAAUCAGCCUUGUGUUCUAAGCUACAGUGUUAACUUGUGCUCUUCUGCCCUUAUUCUAUGACAGUAUUUGCUUUCUGC
ensembl:lncRNA